UACAUGGGGUGCAAACGUUGCUCGGAAUUAUUGGGCGUAAAGCGCACGUAGGCGGCUUGGCAAGUCGGAUGUGAAAUCCCUCGGCUCAACCAAGGAAGUGCAUCCGAAACUGCCGAGCUUGAGUACUUAAGAGGAUCGCGGAAUUCCCGGUGUAGAGGUGAAAUUCGUAGAUAUCGGGAGGAACACCAGUGGCGAAGGCGGCGAUCUGGGAAGAUACUGACGCUGAGGUGCGAAAAGCGUGGGGAGCAAACAGG
rnacentral:rRNA from 1 species